rnacentral:rRNA from 1 species
CUACGGGACGCUCCAGUAGGGAAUUUUCGGCAAUGGGCGAAAGCCUGACCGAGCAAUGCCGCGUGAACGAUGAAGGUCUUCGGAUCGUAAAGUUCUGUUGUAGAGGAAGAACACUAUUUGUAGGAAAUGACAAGUAGCUGACGGUACUCUACCAGAAAGCUCCGGCUAACUACGUGCCAGCAGCCGCGGUAAUACGUAGGGAGCGAGCGUUAUCCGGAAUUAUUGGGCGUAAAGAGCGCGUAGGCGGAUUUGUCAGUCAGAUGUGAAAUUCCAGGGCUUAACCUUGGGCGUGCAUUUGAGACAGCAAGUCUUGAGUACGGUAGAGGGAAGUGGAAUUCCUGGUGUAGAGGUGAAAUUCGUAGAUAUCAGGAGGAACACCGAAGGCGAAGGCAGCUUCCUGGUCCGAUACUGACGCUGAAGUGCGAAGGCGUGGGUAGCAAACAGGAUUAGAUACCCCAGUAGUC